AAAAACCAGCGCUGUGAGGAGGCCAUCCCGAAGGACAUCAGCAGCUAGACCUGCAAUGAACACUUCUGAGCAACGAAUGGACCCAACGAGAUGACUUCAACAUCACUGGACGGACAUUGGUUAGGGGAAUCGUGCCUACGACGAGCUUCACAGCGCACGAAAUGCGCCAUAUAUCGCACACUGAUACGGCCGGCAGUCCUAUACAGGCACGAAUCCUGGACAAUGCUGGCGGUAUUCUUACGGUUGCCAAAGACGUACGGAUACGCUGGUCAGGGCACGUGAUGAGGAUACCGGGCUCGUGCCCGCCUGUGACCCGUUGGCUGGAUUGAUGUGGACCAGAGGCAGAUCGGAUACAGCCGGAGAUUGGAGAAGCGCAGCCAUGGACCACAGCAACAGGCCAAGAAAGAGAGGAAGAAGAACAGGAACUUGAUGUGGGAGAACUCUUGCAGGAACUUGGUGUCUUCAUGGGAUAUCUUCUUCACGAAGGGAGAAUGUCUUGUCAACUCCACAAAUCACUUCACGAUGCUCAACUUCUACACCGAAUCCAUGCCGUUUUGACAGUAGAGAUUACGUCCGGAUACUUCGUCAAAAAAAAGCACACACACCAUGAAUUCUUUUCCCUUUGUUCAAUAUAUUUCAUAUCAAAUAAAGUCAAUUCCUCUGUCCCAUCAUUAAGAACCUUCCCGCGCGAGUUUCCUCUUUCGCCCUGCAAUGGGCCACAAAACAGAAGAAAAUCGACCUUUUUCUUUCUUGCGCAAUAAAAUGGUAAAAAUUGUGCACAAAAUGUUACAUGUUGUUUUGCGCUUUUGCCUCACCCACUCUCUCUCGCACCUUUCGCUUGUACGCUUUAGUAGCGGUAAAGAUACAAAAAAACGACCAACAUGCAUAAGAGAGUGACAUUCAAUUUUAACCAUAAGCAUUCGGUUUUGCUUUUCUUUUCUAUCGCUACAUUGAUAUUAGCUUUCCCUUCUCUGUUUCUUAAUUGCUCACAUUCGUCGUUUUGCGCUCCUUAUCGGCGCGGGUUUUUUGUUGUUGUUUUAAAUUAAGAAUAAUGCUUCCUCCAUGCCAUGCUGCUGCUAUAGCUGCGACCACACACAUGUGCGUGUACGCGUGUGUGUCUUUCACAAAAGUGAUUAAAUAUUCGAUGUUAGUAUAUCCUCCUCGUUGCUGCUGCAGCCCCAUUCGCCAUGUGCGUUCAGUUUCACUUUUCACAUUUAAAACUUUAUAAUCGCUCUCACGGCUUGCUUAGGUUUAAACUUCUGUUUGCAGUACACCUUUUUAAGCUUUCAAUGGAACAGACACAUUCAGAUACACCGAUGUAGUUUACUUGUAUGUAUAUAUGUAUAGAUGCAUAGCAACGUAUAUGUAUAUAGUUUACGCAUUUUUAGCACUUGUUUCGCCAAUAAUAAGAACAAAGAAAAACACUCUUUUUUGUCCAUUGUUUCGCUUGUCAUUUCACUGUUCGUUCCUCGAUCCUUAUAUGCCUCUGUUUCCUCUUUCCUCGUUUCACUACCCUGUUGUGUGUGUGUUUUUUUUACGGUGGUUUGCUUUCGUUUUGUUGUUUGCUGUUACUUUUGUAUAAAUAUAUGCUCAUAUAAAAAUGGAUUUCGAUCUACUACCGUGUUUUGUGCUCUGUUUGCGUUCGGGGUUGCUUUCACUGUUAUACUUUUUUUUUUUUGGCAGAAGUAUGUUCGAAAAUGGGUUUACAAACAAUUACUCAACACGUUUGGCGGAAGAGAGGAGGGAAGUGUGCGCCCUCAUCAUCACUGCUAUUAGCUAUUGCGGGGCGAUAACAGACGGCCGAAGAUAACAGGGGGUGGGGGGCGGGGGUUUGCUUUCUUUAUCUAAAAUCAAUAUCCUUGACGCUUAACAGUUCUCGUUCCUCACUCUUGCAAACAUUGCGGCCGAUCAAUAUGAUUUUCUUUUAUACAAAUAUAUAUAUAUAAAUUUAAUAGUCAUAUGUACGUUUCGUUACAAAAUAAAUUCUUCUAUCAUCUGGGCUGAGAUGUUCCAAACUUCACUUGUUGUGCGCACAUGUUUUCGCAUCGUUUGUAUAUGAUUUGCAUUAACCGUUUGCCACCCAAUAGUUACCACCACUACUCUGUGCGUAACGAACAUUACAGGGGUUUUGCAGUUUAGGCUCCUUGGAUGAAAUGGUAGCACAGCUUCACAAUCGAAGGUAAUUGAUUUGCCUACUAUCUGAAGCCGUUCCCAUGUCAACUAGCUGCUUUUGCUUCCCCAUUUCAUCUAAGAAGCCAGGAA